rnacentral:misc_RNA from 1 species
UAACUGCGUGCAGACGUGUGAACUGCAGGACACAUGAACACCGACAUUUUGAACGCAUAUGGCGGCUUGAUAUAAAUAUCAAGCCACGUCUGGCUGAGGGUCGGAUUUGAAAUAAAAACAAAAACGCCCAGAACGACCUCUGUCUCUGCUGGUAAACGGCGGGAGUAAAUGUGUCGUACUUAAGGUGUGUUACAUCGCCGAGUUGUUUUCUGGCUCGGUUAGAUCACAAAUGUAUGUUUGUCGAAGCUUGUAUACAAUGUCAUGUCUCAAGCAGCAGACCGUUAAAAAAGUACUGCGGAAAGACUUCAUACAUUUCAAACAAAAACUAAAUCAUACUUGCGACCUCAGAGUAGACGAGAUUACCCGCUGAAUUUAA